UACGUAGGGUGCAAGCGUUAAUCGGAAUUACUGGGCGUAAAGCGUGCGCAGGCGGUUCGGAAAGAAAGAUGUGAAAUCCCAGGGCUUAACCUUGGAACUGCAUUUUUAACUGCCGGGCUAGAGUAUGUCAGAGGGGGGUAGAAUUCCACGUGUAGCAGUGAAAUGCAUAGAGAUGUGGAGGAAUACCGAUGGCGAAGGCAGCCCCCUGGGAUAAUACUGACGCUCAUGCACGAAAGCGUGGGGAGCAAACAGG
rnacentral:rRNA from 1 species